GCCAACAUGUGCCUCUGGUGUUGUGGGCCAACAGCAUAAAAUAGGAGGCAUUAUUUUUGGAGCAGCCAUUGCUGUAGGAAAAGAGAAGCCUCUGAAGACCUUGUGAAAAGACUAAUGGAGUGGAAUGAGCUAUUGUGACCAGAAUCUGUCCAAGAAAGCCCAGAAGCAAAGUAGCGGCAAGCAGAGGUGGCUGGCAGAAAACAUGACUAGGUGACAUCUGUUUUUCUGGAAUCAAAGGCAUUUCACAUGCAUUAAUACAGCCUCAAAGCACCUCUAGCCACUGUGGAAAUAAAUACUUGGAAGACAGAGGAAGAAAAAUGAAAAGGAAGGAAAAAUUUGGGUUGAAUAUUGUCUUGUUCCAUCCAUUUUAAUUUUGUAAGGACCAUGUCAAAGAGCAUCCUAACACUAUGUUUAACACUCCCAUGUAUGUGCCGCAUUCCCGGUGAAGUCUGGAUUACAUUUCAGUUUUGGAACUGCAGAGAAUUUGAAAUCAUACAAAACCUUGCAAAUGACAUUGAGAUUUAUCAAAGCACUGGUCUAAAAUAAAAGUGC
rnacentral:lncRNA from 7 species